GUUGCUGCAGUCCUUUGGGUUCUAUCAUCAUAAUUUGUCAAAGGGACAGUGAAAAGAAGUUGAUGGAGAAAACUGUAAUCCAGGGGCGUUCAGUUUGCAGGCUAAGAAACUGAAAGAUGUGGUGAGAGAACUGACCCAGGCUGGAAAACAACAGAUGAUAAAGAAGAUUUGGAUAGAUGCAAGACAGAUGGCCAACUUUUUGUCAAAGAUGCAAGACAGAUGCCCCUCUCCUGGCAGGAUGGCAUAUUGAGAACUGAAUCAUACAGAAGGGAAAUAAAGCUCUAAAACUAAU